rnacentral:lncRNA from 1 species
AAACAAAAUACACAGCUACAUUUACCAGAUAGUUUAAUAAACAUUUUUAAUGAGACAAUUACUUUUUUUAAAUGUAGAGAAUUCUUACCUGCAGGUGUACCUAUGUGAUGCUUAAAUUGUGCCUCUUUUUUUUUUUUUUUUUUUUUUUGUCAGAGAUGCUUUUUAGAUGUUGCUGAUUUCAUACGUACCUGUUAUGACAUGUGAACUGAAGUGUGACUGCAUCCAGAGUUUGAGGCUAUUUGGAUCUCUGCUUACAGCUUACGGCCAUCCAUUUUACCUGGAUUGUUGCAGCUUUAGAAAGACCUACACUGAUACUACCAGAAAAAGAGAACAUGGAUAUGAUCCAAGAGCUGUUGAAGAGCAUCUCUUCUUGGCUUCAGAGGCAUGUUUGAUCAGGCCCCUGUAGAGAGGUAAAAUAAACUCGCUGUGUUUACAACAUGGAAGAUUCUAUUAGCUGUGUAUAUUUAUUUAGUGGGGUAAGCUAAAAAUGCCUUAAAGAUGUUUUGAACCCAUAUCAUUUUAAAGAGCUUCUAAAUCUUGUAUAUGACUCCUCUAUACUUGAUAGCUGCUCUGUGUAGUACUUGCUGUAUGGUGUAGCCAACUGAGCUAGGUUAUUAAGCAAACUCAUAUGAACCAAGAAAAAUAGGAUGUUAAGGGAACAUUAGUCAGACAGUUCAGAGCCAAGGGAGAAUGUUCCUAUACAUGGG